AUGCAUUCUCCUAAACCCCCCAGUUGUUUAUUGUAGCUGCUGGGACAAGAAAGAAUGCCAGAUCAAAAUGUAGAUGUAUCCAAAGUGAAGAGUCUGUCUGUGUCUCUUUGCUAUUUCACAUCUAGGACAUUG